GUUUGAGUUCUCAUAUAACAGAUUUCACUUUCAUUGAAUAUUUACGUGCGUCCUUUUGUGCUAACAAAACUUAUCGCCAUGAGAGUUCUUUUAACCAAAAUCUUUCUUGGCAUGACGCUGUUUCUGGGGCUUGCUAAAGCAGGUAUAAAUUGGUAUGAUUUACAUGCCAAACCACAUCUGCCCAUCAUAGGCCCGAUCGUUUAGUAUUCUAGUAAGCCAAUACAAUGUUUUAAUAAAGAACUUUAUGCGUUGAAUAAUAAAA